AACGAACGCCGGCGGCAUGCCUAACACAUGCAAGUCGAACGAGAUCUUCGGGUCUAGUGGCGCACGGGUGCGUAACGCGUGGGAAUCUGCCCUUUGGUUCGGAAUAACAGUUGGAAACGACUGCUAAUACCGGAUGAUGACGAAAGUCCAAAGAUUUAUCGCCGGAGGAUGAGCCCGCGUAGGAUUAGCUAGUUGGUGUGGUAAAGGCGCACCAAGGCGACGAUCCUUAGCUGGUCUGAGAGGAUGAUCAGCCACACUGGGACUGAGACACGGCCCAGACUCCUACGGGAGGCAGCAGUGGGGAAUAUUGGACAAUGGGCGAAAGCCUGAUCCAGCAAUGCCGCGUGAGUGAUGAAGGCCUUAGGGUUGUAAAGCUCUUUUACCCGGGAUGAUAAUGACAGUACCGGGAGAGUAAGCUCCGGCUAACUCCGUGCCAGCCGCCGCAGUAA
rnacentral:rRNA from 1 species